GAUGAACGCUGGCGGCAUGCUUUACACAUGCAAGUCGGACGGGAAGUGGUGUUUCCCGUGGCGGGCGGGUGAGUAACGCGUAAGAACCUGCCCUUGGGAGGGGAACAACAGCUGGAAACGGCUGCUAAUACCCCGUAGGCUGAGGAGCGAAAGGAGGAAUCCGCCCAAGGAGGGGCUCGCGUCUGAUUAGCUAGUUGGUGAGGUAAUAGCUUACCAAGGCCGUGAUCAGUAGCUGGUCCGAGAGGAUGAUCAGCCACACUGGGACUGAGACAAGGCCCAGACUCCUACGGGAGGCAGCAGUGGGGAAUGUGCCGCAAUGGGCGAAAGCCUGACGGAGCAAUGCCGCGUGGAGGUAAAAGGCCUACGGGUCAUGAACUUCUUUUCCUGGAGAAGAAACAAUGACGGUAGCUGGGGAAUAAGCAUCGGCUAACUCGGUG
rnacentral:rRNA from 1 species